rnacentral:rRNA from 1 species
UGGGGAAUAUUGGACAAUGGGCGAAAGCCUGAUCCAGCCAUGCCGCGUGUGUGAAGAAGGUCUUCGGAUUGUAAAGCACUUUAAGUUGGGAGGAAGGGCAGUAAAUUAAUACUUUGCUGUUUUGACGUUACCGACAGAAUAAGCACCGGCUAACUCUGUGCCAGCAGCCGCGGUAAUACAGAGGGUGCAAGCGUUAAUCGGAAUUACUGGGCGUAAAGCGCGCGUAGGUGGUUAGUUAAGUUGGAUGUGAAAUCCCCGGGCUCAACCUGGGAACUGCAUUCAAAACUGACUGACUAGAGUAUGGUAGAGGGUGGUGGAAUUUCCUGUGUAGCGGUGAAAUGCGUAGAUAUAGGAAGGAACACCAGUGGCGAAGGCGACCACCUGGACUGAUACUGACACUGAGGUGCGAAAGCGUGGGGAGCAAACAGGAUUAGAUACCCACGUAGUCCCUGAGCGGGCUGGCAAGGCGCAU